rnacentral:rRNA from 1 species
UACGUAGGGUGCAAGCGUUAAUCGGAAUUACUGGGCGUAAAGCGUGCGCAGGCGGUGAUGUAAGACAGAUGUGAAAUCCCCGGGCUCAACCUGGGAACUGCAUUUGUGACUGCAUCGCUGGAGUGCGGCAGAGGGGGAUGGAAUUCCGCGUGUAGCAGUGAAAUGCGUAGAUAUGCGGAGGAACACCGACGGCGAAGGCAAUCCCCUGGGCCUGCACUGACGCUCAUGCACGAAAGCGUGGGGAGCAAACAGG